AUGUAGGAGGAUUUCUUCUGUAUUUUAUUAUUUUAGUUAGAUUUAGUUUUAUUAUAUUUUAGGUUGAUUUCUUAUUUUUAUAUUUCACCUAGGUUAGUUAUUUUUAUAUUUUAGGUAGAUUUGUAAUUUUUAUUUAGCUAGGUUUGUUGUUUUUAUUUUUACAAUCUUUUAGGAGAUUUGUUAAUUUUAUUUUUCACUCCUAU
rnacentral:lncRNA from 1 species